rnacentral:lncRNA from 1 species
GCUUUCUCAGCCCUGGAUCACCAUGGCAGAAAGAGAUAUGGCCCCCAGGGGCAACACUCCUUGCUGAGUCACUGGGAGGACACACUGCAAAGCGGCAUUCCCAAGGGCCAUCUCCUUUCCUGAGUUCUGAAACCAUGGUGACCACAGCUUCCUCCCCUUUGUCUCCUUCCAGCCUCUCCAAAGGUCUGUAUGUGCCUGAGUGGCUACUGUUGCUGCAAUCUUCCAUUUUAUUCAACCGAUUACCUGGGGGAGGGAAAGAAUCCAUCUCUUUCAACAGGCUGCAGUGCCAAGGCCACAGGAGAGAGCUGGGGCCAGGGCCCCAACAGAUGUUUUGACCAGAUUCCAACUUCCUGAGUUCCCAGUGCUUCACAGAGCUGCUGGAGAAUUUCUAGUCCUCCCCAGGACAUUCCGAUUUCCCACUGAGAAAUACGAAAACAACACUGCUUCCCUGAGGGCUGUGAGCUCUAUCCCUGAGCACUGGAAUCUCCAUUUUAGGAAAACUGUUUACCAGGGUGUGAGGCUCUGAAAGGAAAUGCGCCCUUGCGUCUCCUGGGAAAUAAUAAAGACCCCACCAAAAGAACUGACCGCAGGGAUCUGCUGUUGUCGGAUUCUGGGAGGCCGACUUCCGUCUUCCGACUAAACACCAGCUUGAAAUGAAAGUAUGCAUGCACAAAAGUCAAGGAUGUGGGGGAAAUAAUGGAGAAAAAGUGCCCUGAAAUGCCACAGACCUGUCACCCAGCUUCAACGGUUAUCAAUAUUUUACCCAUUGUUUCCACUUCUCACCUCUCCUGGUAGUAUUUUUUUUUUUUUCAGUAGAGCUGGGAUUGGCAAACCACAAUUCCAUGGGCCAAAUGCAGCCUGCUUCCUGUUUUCUUUUUCUGCUUCCUGUUUUAUAAAUAAAG